rnacentral:lncRNA from 1 species
AGGCUGAAAACGGAGUGUUUGGGGAGGAAGGGGCAUCUGUGUCCUGUUUUGCAGGGGACUGGAAUGACGGCAUCGCGUGGUGACAGUGCGGCCACGACGGGGGCUCUGCUGGGGCUGAGGGGAUUGCAAUUCCGGUGGUCAUUUUGCAUGGCUGGGGUCCAUCACCAGUUAGGGUACACAGGGGGUGCACAAGACUCGCGGGUCCAUCCCAUGGGGGGCCGUCAGGAGCACAGGGCGGCGGCGGCGUCGCGCUCCACCUCGAUGGACACGAUGUGGUGCCCAGGCACCAUGGCCAGGCCCAGCACACGCGGCUCGCUGCCCGGGAACGCAUCCGCAGCCUUGAGGAACUCCUGCGCGGAGCCGAGGAUGAUGUUGGCGUCGCGGUCGGUGCAGAGGAAGGCUCCCACCAGCGUGCGCCCGUCCGACAUGCGCACCCGCAGGCUGCGGUUCAGCAGCGCCGCCAGGCGCCGGGCGCGGGGCUGCGGCCCCCCGGGGGGCGCCGGCUCCGCCAUGGAACCGCACCGCUCUCCGGCAGCCCCCGCGCGGCGGCGG